AAAAAUAUUGGCACCGGGCCACUUUAUUCCACCGCGAUUAGUCUCAUGAAUGCACAAUGUAUCCACUAGUUCACACGUCUGCUAAAGAGUCCAGAUGAUUUUUGUCUCCAAAACAGAUCUAAACUUGACAUCCACAGCUUUAUUGGGUAAAACUACAUUGUCAGAGUGAAGACUGGAGGGCAGCACCGAGGCCAGCAUCGAUGCUUUUACCACACCACUUCUGGGCACCGACUCUGACACCCCUCUCCUGCAAACAGGUGACACCGCCCCAUGAGGCCUUGUCCGUGCUACAAAUGAGGCCACACAGCUCCCGGCCGCCAGUCUCACCAACAAACCAGUGAACCAAACUUGCAGUAUCUACAUUACCGAUGUCCAACAGGAUCUUGCAAUCACAAGAAGAAUGACCAAGACAAUCACUCGCUUUAAAACUCUCACGGCCUGCGCACACCGACUCCAGUGUCUCUCUGUAGCAGGCAGCAACACGGUCUGCACCAAGUCCAGCUCCUCCGCCAACAAACAACUUGCUGGUGAGGUAGAUCUGCAGUACUUGAAGUUCUGAAUGUCCAGCAGUGGCUCGUGAUAGUGAAAAGGACACUUUAAAAAGACAUUAACACCUUUGGUCGGCUCUGUGCAGGCCACUGCUUCCGAGCGC